ACGAACUAAGAUCUUAGUUCAUGAUAUUACUCGAUGGACCGCUGGCGCAGUAUCGCUAUCGUGUUAUCUAACUUUCCCAAACUGAUUUCACUGUUAUCGACAAUAUUAUUAUUGAUGAUACAGUCUUGAAUUUACGAACAUUUUAAACCGUCAUAAAUUAUUUAAAUAGCAUUAUAAUUUAUAUUUAAAAGCACAAUAGGUAACGACUCGACUUUUGACAUGGAUCCAGGGAAUUUCAUGAUGAAUAAACAAGAAACUCCGGGCGACAUUUGCAAAUAUAAGAUUUGGUUUGAUGACGAAACAUAAAAGUUUUUAAUGUACCUAUGUUUAAUUGAAGAUAUUGAUGUGAAACUGUAAUGAUUAGCUAAUUCUAGAAUGAAAAUUUAGAAAAACGGAAAAACUCCUACCCAAAGUACUCAAAUGCACAUAGUACGAAUGUGAACAACACAAAUUAAAUUGACUGAAUUGGUUGACACUGAAAAUCUGAGUGAUUUCGACGACAUUUUGGAAAAAAUAAAAUCUGAAUAAUUAAGUAUAAUACAAACAUCUUAUUUUGGAAGUACCAAAGUAAUGCACAUUGUGUUAAUUUUGAGAGUUAAAAAUAAAUGUUUAAUACAUAAAUAAUGUGCUUGAUAAAAAUUAAAGCCUAAAGGGCUGUGAAGAGGAUAUAAAUGAGGCCUUUCAUGGGGUUACCAAGUACUCCGUGUAUACCCAAUACGCAUGCCUUUGGUUGUGGUCCGAGAGUUAAGUCAAGGGUUUCGGUCAAGUUGAGGUCCAUUUGCUCCUGGUCGUAAACAUGACAUUCAGUCAAGAUGUGUUUGACGGUGAGAUGUUGGCCGCAGAAUUCACAGAAGGAUGGUUCUUCAUUGGACAUUUAGAUCUAAAGUGCAUACAAACAUUGACUGCUGAAAUAACAUUAGAUAAUGCAUUUGAAACAACUAUAACAGUUUAAUGACACAACAUAUUUGUAAAUUAAUUGGGUUGUAAGGACUUUUAUUGCUCAAUAUGUAAUAUAUUUAUUCUAAUAAUUCAUCAAAGAGAGAUAACAAUUUCAAUGGAUAUGAUUCGUCAGGCAUAGUAAUGGUUCAAAAUCCAACAAUCUAAAAAUAUUCCAUUAAAUGGUCCAAUACUCCAAGAAAAAUCGACUAAAUUCAGGAAGCGUUAUAAUAAGACAGAUUUGCAAUGUUCUUUUUAUUGGAUUACCCUUUUUCACCAAAGUCACAUCAUUUUUGGAAAAGUAAGUGGAGAAUCAGCAAGCGUUUCUGCUGUUUUGGAAAAUUGGCUGGAGCACGUUUGGUUUAACUUGUGUAAAAAUUAUACAGAUUGUAACAUUUAUAAUGCUGAUGAAAAUUGAUAAUUUUUUCGUUUACACCGUCUCAAACAUUACAUUUUAAAAUUGAAACUUGCAGUGGAGGUGAACUAUCUAAAGAGCAAUUCACAAUUCUUGUGGCAUCUAAUAUAAAUGGUUCUGACAAAAAAAAAACUGCUGGUAAUAGGAAAGUCUAAGACUGCGAAAUGUUUUAUAAAUGUUAAAUACUUUACUGUUGACUAUAGAAGCAAUUAAAAAGCAUGGAUUACCAAAGACAUUUUUUCAAAUUUGUUGAAUGAAUGAGAUAAACAAUUGGCAAUGUAGAAACAGUAUAUUCUAUUGACUGUAGACAAUUGUUCAGCCUAUCUUCUAUACAAAAUUUCGAUUUUAUAGUUUAUUUAUUUAAUUUUUAUUUUAAGUUGAUUUUUCUCCCUCUAAACAAGAACUUUGUACUUCAGCCUAUGGACCAUGGUAUUAUCAAGACACUAAAAUUAUAAUUUCGAAAACAGUUGGUACUCAAAAUUAUAAAUCAAAAGGCACCAGGAAAAGAAUCAAAAAUGUCCGUAUUGGAUGCAAUUUUAACGGUCUCAGAUGCGUGGAAUGCUGUUUCUACCACUACAAUAAAGAACUGUAUCCUUCAAAUUGGGUUCCAGGCUGCGGUAAAUGUCAAAGCAGAAAAAUAAUCAAUAAACGAAAAUUUGGACAUAGUGCUUCCCUGAAGUAAACUUACAAAAUAUUGUUGAGGUUGACGCUGCUCUUAUGAUCAAUAAAGAACCGAAUGAAGAAUAAAUUGUAAAUUAUAUUUUAAAUGUAAAUAAGGAGCUGACAAUUAGACCAAAGAAAUUGUAUAUUAUAAGGCCCCAUCUUUUUUGGAAGUGUAUUUUUAAUAGAGCUGGGCCGAUACCAAUACCCGAUAUGGUACUAUCGGUUUAUCGGGUAUCAGGUUUUUUUUAAACCGAUAAUUAAACUGAUAUAAUGCAGUCGCAUAUCAAUUUGUAUGUAAUGGUGGUGCUUAUACCGAUAAUGUUAUUUUUUUACAUAUUAUAAUAUAAACAAUAAAUAAUUUGGUAAACAUAUCAAACACAAUUUAAAUUAAAUUUUGUUUAUUUAAUUAUUUUUCCUGCUUACCGCGGUUAUGAUUUUAUUGAUUAAGAUAAUAUCCCAAAAAUUAUUAAUUAUUAUAGUAUCAUUAAAUUCAACUUUUAAACGUAUAAAUAUUUUAAUUUUUAAUUAAUAAUGAUUUAAUAUUUAUUAUUUAGUAUAGUGAUUUCAAGUUUGAUUAUUUUAAUAUUUAUAAUCUUCUAUCACUAUUAUAUUGUUUUAUUUUUUUGUCCACUUAUUCAACUAAAAAAAUAUUUAAAGUUAUUAAUUAUUAUUUAUUAGCUAUACACAUACAGCUAUACAUUUAUACUAUUAUAUAUUAUACUAUGUACAUAGUACUAUUACUGAUUAUUUUUCAAAAAAAUUGUAAACAUAAUUAGGUUAAAAUAAUAUAUACAUAAUCCCGUAUUAAUACGUACUUAUUAUUCAUAAAUAUAUAAUAUAGACAUGUGUGAUAAUACAUUUGUAAUACAAAAACUUUGUUAAAUCAAGUUUUUUUAUCAUCCGGAUAUAACAGCCUGAUUCAGAAGGUCCCUUAAAAAUCGGUAUAAGUAGAUUCUACCGUAUUAAAAAAAAUAUUCAAUCUAAUUUUGAGGAAGCAACUAUUAACAUACAGCAUCAAUGAAGAAGAACCUGCAGUAAAUCCAUGUUGCAACCCCAAAGAAAAGAGCAUUUUUACCAACAAAUAUACCUGGGAACCCAUGCAAUUUUGUAAUAGAUGCCCUAAAAUUUAAGUCCCAGAUCAUAGGGCCCGUAUUUUAAUUAAGGUUAAGUACUAGAAUUAAAUGUACAUUUUUCUAAUAUACCUAUAAAAAGACAUAAUAAAACGUACAAUAUUUUUAAUUUGCGCGGAAUAACUGCUUAUUAUGAUUUAGUAUAUUUAAACAAUCAAUUUUAGAUUUAUUUGUAGAUAAAGCUCAAAUAGAUGUAAUUUAUACAGAUUUUGAAAAGGCAUUCGAUAGGGUUAACUAUUCAUUAUUAAUUUACAAACUAAAAAUUAUAUGGGCUUAGAGAUUCUUUACUUUCUUGGUUUAACUCAUUUCUAACAAAUUGUUUCCUAGUUAUUAAAUACAAACAAUUUAUAUCUAAUUCAAUAAAUGUAUUAUCAGGUGUUGCCCAAGGAGAUCACUUAUCUCCAUUACUUUUUUCAUUUUUCAUUAACAAUAUUAAUAAAGUUCUAAAUUGCUUAAAAUAAAUAAUAAAAUAAAUUAUUUGCUGAUGACAGUAAAAUAUUUAAAAAAAUCAAUUGUAUUGAUGUAUUUUAUUGGAACUUCAAGCCAACUUAGAUAAUUUAUAUAAAUGGUGCAUCAAUAAUGGAAUGUCCUUAAAUAUUGAUAAAUGCUCCGUUAUAUCGUAUUCUUUAAAAUAAAUACUAUCUUUUUUAAUUAUGUUUUACAUAAUACAAAUCUAACACGUAAAUAUAUUAUUAAAGAUCUAGGAGUUUCAUUUGACACAAAAUUAUCUUUUAGGAAUCAUGUGGAUUUUAUUCAUAAUAAAGCUUUUAUGAAGCUGGGAUUAUAAAAACGUAUGUGUUAUGAUUUCAACGAUAGUUCAGCUUUAAAAAUAUUAUAUUAUUCUCUAGUAUAUUGCACCCACUGGGAUUUUUUUUAAUGAACAAAAAAUCAGUGUAUAAUAAUGUAAAUAUGUGACAACUUAUGUAUGUAUAACAUAAAUUUAAUUUUGCACCCACUGAGCUGAUUUUCUGCGGGCGUCCCUGGGCACUCAGAUAGUAUUUGUCAAAACCAUAGUCUAAUAAUAUUUAGAAUAAAGCAUAUUAUAUACCAAUUUCAUGGAUUAAGAUCAAUAUUUGUGCUAAUUACUGUCAUUCACUGUAGUGGCAUAAUUGAGAAUAUUUCAUGAGGGGGGGAUAUCAAAAUAAAUUUGUAUGGCAAAUUUCACAUAUUACCCUUAUCAUAAUUGUAUAUCUUAUCACAUGAUGUAUACAUAAAAUGUAUGUAUUUGUUUUAAAUUAUUAUUAUUGUUAUUAUUAAUUAAUAAAUUAUAUUUUUUUUAGUACCUAGACUCAUUCAAAUUUUUGAUAAUAACUAAUAUAACAUAAUAGCUACUGAAUGAACUGCAUAGAUUGCAGUAAUUUUUAAAUACAUUUUUAACUGGUGCCUAUUUAAUUUUGCAUAAUUUUAAUUGUAAUGCUAAAGUGUACAAUAUAGGUAAAUGCAUAUUUUGUACGAUCUUAAAACAUUUAAUUCCGGGCCUAAAAAUGUUUGGUAUUUUAAAUAAUUAAAAAAUGUAAUAAUUACGUCAGGACCAGGCUUCUUUUCAAAAAAUUCAAUUAAGUAUUAUUAGUAGCAACUUUCCUUUUUUAAAAUUAUUGUCAACUUUUGAAAUGUGUAUUCAACAAAGAAAUAACAGUCCGGAAAGAGAAACAGAUUUUAUUAAUGAUGUAUCAACAACUCUAGAACGUUGCAAUGAACAAAUUUAACAUAAUAAUAAGUUACGUAUAAAUAAAUGUUCUUCAGCUACUAAAAAGCGUAAAACUAAAACACCAGAAGAUAAUAUUGAUGAACAAAUUUUCAGGAAAUCAAAAAAACCAAUUGACCAAUUUUUAAAUAUAGGUACAUAACCUUUAAAACUAAACUAGGGACUCUAAAAAUGCAGAUACUAUUUGUUUUUAUUUUAUUGUAUGAU